UUUAGUUAGAUUUUUUCUAGU
rnacentral:snRNA from 1 species